rnacentral:rRNA from 1 species
GACGAACGCUGGCGGCGUGCUUAACACAUGCAAGUCGAACGGAAAGGCCUUUUCGGCGGUACUCGAGUGGCGAACGGGUGAGUAACACGUGGGUGAUCUGCCCUGCACUCUGGGAUAAGCCUGGGAAACUGGGUCUAAUACCGGAUAGGACCGCACUUUAGUGUGUGUGGUGGAAAGUUUUUUCGGUGUAGGAUGAGCCCGCGGCCUAUCAGCUUGUUGGUGGGGUAAUGGCCUACCAAGGCGGCGACGGGUAGCCGGACUGAGAGGUUGGUCGGCCACAUUGGGACUGAGAUACGGCCCAGACGCCUACGGGAGGAAGCAGGGGGGAAUAGUGAACAAUGGGAGCAAGCCUGAUGCAGCGACGCCGCGUGGGGGAUGACGGCCUUCGGGUUGUAAACUCCUUUCGCCAGGGACGAAGCGUUUUGUGACGGUACCUGGAGAAGAAGCACCGGCUAACUACGUG